rnacentral:rRNA from 1 species
AAUGAACGCUGGCGGCAGGCCUAACACAUGCAAGUCGAACGCGCCCUUCGGGGUGAGUGGCGGACGGGUGAGUAACGCGUGGGAAUAUGCCCUUUGGUACGGAAUAGUCCUGGGAAACUGGGGGUAAUACCGUAUGUGCCCUUCGGGGGAAAGAUUUAUCGCCAAAGGAUUAGCCCGCGUUGGAUUAGGUAGUUGGUGGGGUAAUGGCCUACCAAGCCGACGAUCCAUAGCUGGUUUGAGAGGAUGAUCAGCCACACUGGGACUGAGACACGGCCCAGACUCCUACGGGAGGCAGCAGUGGGGAAUCUUAGACAAUGGGGGAAACCCUGAUCUAGCCAUGCCGCGUGAUCGAUGAAGGCCUUAGGGUUGUAAAGAUCUUUCAGAUGGGAAGAUAAUGACGGUACCAUCAGAAGAAGCCCCGGCUAACUCCGUG